CAGCCGCCACGGGAAUACGAGGGGGGCAAGCGUUGUUCGGAAUUAUUGGGCGUAAAGGGCGCGUAGGCGGUUUGGCAAGUUUCGUGUGAAAACUUCGGGCUCAACUCGAAGCCUGCACGGAAAACUGCCGGGCUUGAGUAUGGGAGAGGUGAGUGGAAUUUCCGGUGUAGCGGUGAAAUGCGUAGAUAUCGGAAGGAACACCUGUGGCGAAAGCGGCUCACUGGACCAUAACUGACGCUGAGGCGCGAAAGCUAGGGGAGCAAACAGGAUUAGAUACCCGCGUAGUCCCUGUCUCUUAUAC
rnacentral:rRNA from 1 species